rnacentral:rRNA from 1 species
UACAGAGGGUGCGAGCGUUAAUCGGAAUUACUGGGCGUAAAGCGCGCGUAGGCGGCUUUGCAAGUCGGGUGUGAAAUCCCCAGGCUUAACCUGGGAACUGCAUUCGAGACUGCAUUGCUAGAGUAUGGGAGAGGGAAGUGGAAUUCCGGUGUAGCGGUGAAAUGCGUAGAUAUCGGAAGGAACAUCAGUGGCGAAAGCGACUCCUGGACCAAUUCUGACGCUGAGGAGCGAAAGCCAGGGGAGCAAACGGG